CACCACAGUUCCGCCCACAAUGGAGCCCCGUGUCAUCACUGUAGGUCUGGGGUCCAGUUAGCACUUAGCCCUGCACUCUGAAGGUGAGGGGAGGCCCUGUCUCCACGCCAGGUGGGAAGGGGA
rnacentral:sRNA from 1 species